UGAUGUAUCCACGUCUCGUUGUUGCCGUGUUCGCGCUUGCCUGCCUUUGGCAGUUCAGGCCUGCUUCUGGCUACGCUCUUCCUGGUGAGGUAGUGGAGUUGGAGCCUUGGACUUGGAACAGGAAUCACGGAUCUGAACAAGACUUAGAGAUGUUCCCAACACAAAAAAGAUCUAACACGCCGUCAACAUGGGCGACGAUAUUCAAAUACCUUCGUCAACACCAGCAACAAGGUUCUCAAAUUAGCCUCCCUCCAGAUCUAGCUCCACUUGAAACGCGGGCCACGGGAUCGAGAACGAAUGGACGCAACUGAGGAAAGAAGCCGCUUUCGCAAUCGCCAUAGAUCGAACGACGGAACGUUUAUGGACAAACGGACCUUGGUAUGGAAAUAAGGACUAAUUUAGUGUUAACGUUCCUUUUCAGCUACGAUAUCUGCUUGACUGUUGACUCUGCACUUAUGUAAGGAACGACCUUUCUGUGUUCUACAUAAAGAAGUUCAUCCUGGCUUGCUUCCUUGAAUAACAUUAUUCCAAUGUGCUACACAUUCUGAUAUUUAAGCUUCAGAGCAAUUCCCGCAACGCUCUGAAAGUGUGCAGCGUGGACGAUUCAGCUUUUGGGUUAACAAUCUCUCUUUUCGCCUUUAUAAGGUCAGUUGGCUUCAUGCUCGAUUGCUUUUGUCACAUCCUCUACUACGCUAUUGGUUCAUCACCGCUAUGACUGGUAUCCUUGGACAAGUUCAAGCAGCGAAACAAUGAUCGGGGUAAGAAAGGAAUUUUCGCCACUGACCAUAUACAUGUACAUUUGAAAAGAGAGGACAUGUUAUGUAACACAUCUGUAUUAGCCUAAGAAGUAGCUUCGACGUCCUCAUAAGAAGAGGAAUCUGGAAUUCGUCUUACCUCAAAUGCAUGCCUCGAUUCAUAGGGCUACUGAGAUUAGGGUGCAAGAGGUGUACUAAAAUAGAUUUUCGUCUCCUGAGAAAUAUUGAUAAAUGACACAAAAGUUCAGGGUUCCUGGCAUGAAGAACCACACGGUUAUCAGAGUCGGUCGUUUUGAAGAAAUAAGCCGAUCGCCAAUGAACAUUCUAGAAUUUAUUUUCUUCUAAUCAACAACAAGCCUAACAGGUCAUUUACAUAUCACGUGAGAAUCUAGUAGUUUUCUAAAAUCAUUUGUUUCUACACCUAUUGCAUAUCGAAUAAAGAUCUGUAAUGAAUAAACUUCAACAUUCCUAAGCAACGUAACAA